rnacentral:rRNA from 1 species
UGGGGAAUAUUGCACAAUGGGCGCAAGCCUGAUGCAGCCAUGCCGCGUGUAUGAAGAAGGCCUUCGGGUUGUAAAGUACUUUCAGCGGGGAGGAAGGGAGUAAAGUUAAUACCUUUGCUCAUUGACGUUACCCGCAGAAGAAGCACCGGCUAACUCCGUGCCAGCAGCCGCGGUAAUACGGAGGGUGCAAGCGUUAAUCGGAAUUACUGGGCGUAAAGCGCACGCAGGCGGUUUGUUAAGUCAGAUGUGAAAUCCCCGGGCUCAACCUGGGAACUGCAUCUGAUACUGGCAAGCUUGAGUCUCGUAGAGGGGGGUAGAAUUCCAGGUGUAGCGGUGAAAUGCGUAGAGAUCUGGAGAAAUACCGGUGGCGAAGGCGGCCCCCUGGACGAAGACUGACGCUCAGGUGCGAAAGCGUGGGGAGCAAACAGG